rnacentral:miRNA from 1 species
UUCGCGGCGCGGCCCUUUUGCG